GCGCAGCAGUCGCGAAACCUCCGCAAUGCGGGCAACCGCGACGGGGGGACCCCCAGUGCCGUGGCAUCGCCACGGCUUUUCCGGAGUGUAAAAAGCUCCGGGAAUAAGGGCUGGGCAAGGCCGGUGGCAGCCGCCGCGGUAAUACCGGCGGCCCGGGUGGUGGCCGCUAUUAUUGGGCCUAAAGCGUCCGUAGCCGGGCCUGUAAGUCCCUGGCGAAAUCCCACGGCUCAACCGUGGGGCUUGCUGGGGAUACUGCAGGCCUUGGGACCGGGAGAGGCCGGGGGUACCCCUGGGGUAGGGGUGAAAUCCUAUAAUCCCCAGGGGGACCGCCAGUGGCGAAGGCGCCCGGCUGGAACGGGUCCGACGGUGAGGGACG
rnacentral:rRNA from 1 species